AUGGUAAUCAGAGCACCUCUUGAGCUCAUCCAUGGCAACAUCUUCAAGUACCUUCCCAUCCUCUCCAUUCGCUCACGUCGUCUCGGAGAAACUCACCAAGGGCAACCAGGCGCUAUUGCGGGCGACGGUGUUGUUCGCCAUUCACGGUGCUCAGAUGCAGAAGUACCUCGACGUCGAUCAUCCGGUGCCGCCCAUGCAGCUGGAGAUCACGGACUCCGACGGGAAAACCAAGAAGAAGACCCCCAACCAGGAGUUCCAAACAUGGUAUCACAAGAUCAGCAAGUUUUCUCGUAUCUUCUGACAACGCUGCCCCGUGAGAUGGCAAUUCAGGUCGCCACUUGCCACACCUUGGCCGAGCUGUGGAACACGGUCCAGGGAUGUUGUCCUCACAGACCCGUGCCGCGAUCGUGA
rnacentral:rRNA from 1 species